UCAGUGAAGGACCUGACCCGACCCAAUCUCUUAAGUCUAUAAGGCUUAACCAAACAAACCCUCUAUACACUUCAGUAUAGAAAUGAGGGUUUCUACAACAAACCAUAGCGUCGUCGCGAUGUUACCAUUCUCUCUCAUCGUCAUCAGCCAAAAAUGGCAAAGCCAUAAUGUACAACUGCUUUGAUACAAUCUUUGCUCAACUAAUUUGGGUAAAUGCUUUACCCAUUCUCCGUGGUAGAACCACCCAAACGAGUUGUGCGAAUCACAGACUGACGCAUUAAAAACAGAGACAAAUCAGUUAUGACCUAGCAGAGGCCGUCCCCUGUCUGUUCGGGGAGGACAUCCAUAUACGUACAAAGUCUAGGGCCAUAAUACAAACUUUUCGACCCCCAGAGGUUCGUGACCACAGUCGAUGGAGCAGUCAGUCAAGAUAAGUCUUGAGGAUAAACAACCUUGAGGAAUCAGGGACUCUCUCAUGAAAAAUCUCAACCGUGCAGUACACGUGCAAAAACUGUUCAAUAGAGUGGGGCACUAAGCACGGAGUAACCUUAGGGUUAGGCUAUAAAAACAUCUUGUCUCAUCACUUGUAAGGUAUAUGAUUUUGAAUCACAAAAUGCUACUACACUUUUUUUCCAUUAUCUUCUUUAAACUCACAAGCUCUCAAGCUUUCUCUUGAUCGUUGUAACCCGAAGUCACUGCCAGUCGACAGCCCCGGAGCCAUUUUAAUAAGCAUUUAUUAUUUCACUUUGUUUUA